CCAACAUUAGAAGGUUUUCCUAUGGAUAGAUCGGGCACCGUCUUCCUCAUAUUCCUUCUUGGAGACCCACAUCUUCUUAAAGGUGUCCAGGGAGGCGAGGAUGGAGCCCCUGGAGUGGAGGGAAUCCCAAGGAACGUUGUGAGAGGGAGAAAGUAGGUAUUCGUGUCCCCGUGGGGCCAAAGCAGACAAGGCUUUGCUUUAAAGGGAUGGGGUGGUGAGGGGUAACAGUGCCCUUACUUCCUGUUCCGCUCUUAUUCCCAGGAGAACUACUCACCCAAUCCAUGUGGAAUACAGCCUCUCCUGAGGUGCAGAUAUCUGAAAGGGUUGGUGGAAAGAGGACUCUGAGACUUUCAUCCUCCUUGUCCCUUUCCCGGCCAACGCUCAUCUUUACGGCCAAUUCCAAUGCCCAAGGCAGUGGAUGCAUUUCACACAGUGUCCCUGCUGGACCCCGUGGCCUCUCUGGGGGGUACUGUGGCCAGCCUGACACUCAUCUGGAGGAGAUUUCCAGCAGCCCUAAGUAUCUAUAGCUGCCAGGGAAGCUGGAGCUGUCGGUACAAGAUUCAGCUCUUGGGGGCCGACUGGAAGAAGACUCUGUGGCAAGAUCACACUCCUUCAUUUAGCUCCCCUCAGCAAGCACUAAGAUGGUGGGCUGUGUCACAAGGGAGCACCAGGAGUCAAUCUGCCAACGUGACGGUUUCUCUGAAAGACCUCACGUGGGGCCCUCAGCCUAGCAGCCUGCCCCAUCAGGGUAUCAGAACUGCCCCCUUUUGUUGGGAGGGAGAAGGAAAAUGGGUUCUCCCCUCUGGCAGACCUCAAGGUCAGUGUGGAAGCUGGAGCUGUCUAGCCUUGGAGGGGAGGCCCGGUUCCACGCAGCCCCAGCCCUGCCCCCACCAUGCUCUUACCCUGAUCUUCACGUCUUUUGGAGCCAGUUUCUUCACUUCACUCAGUAGCCUGUCACCGAAGCCUGAAUGGGCAGGAAAGGAGAAUCUCAAGUCAAUUCUCUGGGCAUCUGGGCCCAGCCAGAUAUGGACACUUCCUUGGCAAUGGGCCCUGAGAGCAAAGACCAACCUUUGAACAGGGUGGAGCCUCCUGAGAGGACAAUGUUCGAGAAAAGCGUGCGCCGCAGGUCCAUGUCUGACUUCUGGAUGGCAAACACCAGCACCUCGUGGAUGCCCUCACUCUCCUCUCCGAUCAGGUCUGGCCUGAACAGCAGCUCAGGUGCCCGGAAUCGGGAAGGACCAAUCUGCAGGGUGGAGGGCAAACUCAGAGGCCGGGCCCAGGGCUGAGGUCCCUUUGGGAGUGAGAAUGGAAGAGGCCCCUCUGCCCAUCUGUUAGUGACCAGGUGGCUAGGAAGGCCAGGCUCAGGGAAGACCUGGUAUGUCAAGGGCCUCAAAACACAAAGACAAGGCUCUUGGGAAUAAUCAGGAAACAAAAAGGGACAAAGAGACCUCUUGGGAAAUUACAGAGAGGAAGCUCUUAUGUUUAUUCCUAGCUCUGGCACUUUCCAGCCAAGAGACCUUUGGCAUUAAUACAUGGGUUUAUUCAUUCAUGGAAAUUUCUUCCUAUUAAUGCAGGUCCAGGAAGAGGCAGCUCACCCUAUACUGUGCCCAAAUGAUUACAAACAGCACUAACCACCCUCUUCCAAACCCCAUCCUGACCUCUGGUGCCUCCUCUCCUCCACACAGGAGAAGCAAAGUCCCUGAUGCCUUGCUCUGCAGGAGACAAUGCUAUUCGAGAGCUCUAGGGCUCCAGGGAGAGGGUGUGAAAGGGCUGAUGCAUGUGAACCCAGCCUCCCCCUGUGGAGUUCUGUUGGGGCCCAGAGCUUCUGGGGGGACUGAAGGGAGAUCCAGACCUACCUCAAUGGUGCUGCCGUCAGGCAGGUAGUACUGAGCCUUCUCUGUCUCUAGAGUCUCAUCCUUCUGUGGGUUUAUGGACAGGUAGCAGGCUCUCUGCAGAACCGAGCAGGAGUUAGGCAGGCAGGAAGCCUAGGCCUACCUGGUCAAAGUCCCAGUGCUGCUGCAGACAUCUGCUCAUCCACAGUGACUGCCCUAAAGGGCCACAGAGCUCCUGCCUUGGAGCAUAGCAGGGUGGCCUCUGUCGGCCUCCACUGGGUGGCACUUAGGAUUCGAGUUCCUACCUCUUCCAUCUUCCUUGUGGGCAGGCGUGGAAACUGGCUGUCUGGAGCUGGGUCUGAGACCACAAUCUAAUUUUAGUCCAGACUUAGGCUUCUUUUUUCUUUCUACUACUCAUGGUUCUGGGUCCCAUCUACCCAACUCAAGUUGCCCUAGAGGCAUGGGUGGCAGAAGGAUCUAGUUUACUUAAAAGAAAACUGUAUUCUGACUUCUUCAAGGAUGUAAAAGAACAUAUGUAAUUUGUACGUAAGUUAUAAAAACACAAUGAACACCGGUAUAACCUUCACCCAGCUUAAGAAAUAGCAGCAGCUCCCUUUCCCCCACAAGAUGGCAGCACUUGGGGACAGUGACUAUCAGUGUGAGGGGGCCCAGCUGGGAUCACAUGGCAGCCAGGAGGCCUGGCUGGGGAUAAAAGAGCCUGACCAGAGGAUCGCCCCCCCAGGACUGGAGCUUCGCCUCUCUUCACUCCAGGUCACAGAGGUCCUGGCUGCCCCGUUCCCAUUCCCUAUCCCAUCCCUGGGCACAUGGGGCAGCACUCACUUCUUUUAUGGCCUUGACAAUCUCAAAUUCGGAUGAUGAGUGGAAAUCAUAGCCCUCCUUCCGCAGGUAGAGGCGAAGGAAGCGAGAGACAUCUCGGCCAGCGAUGUCGAUGCGCAUGAUUGAGUGGGGCAUGGCAAAGCCCUCAUAAAUGGGCACGGCAUGCGUGACACCGUCCCCAGAAUCCAGCACCACGCCUGUGGUCCUGCCUGUGGCAUAACUGAAGCACAGGGAGCAAACCUGUCACUAACGCCCGCCUCCUCACUCAGGGAAGAAACUCACUUUUUUUAGAGUUCAAAGUCAGCUAAACUAAAGCUGAGGCCUGCCUUUCUCUAGGAACUUCAGACUACGCAGUACUGAGGAAGCCCGAGCAUAAGCAAGCCUGAAAAACUUGGAAGAGAGCUGAGCCUCCCUGAGCCCCUCCCCCACUCCAGAAGAGCAGGCCUUCCAGUCUCCGGGGAUGGCCUGCCUUUGACUGCUUCAGGAACCCAGCCUAUGGGGCAGUUUUUACUUUCCGGACAAGAGGAAAAAACUCAAAUGCCUACAGGGGCCAGGCAGGAAAGGACAGGCACCUCCAUUCUGCCCUCAAGGGGCCAGGCAGCUACUCACAGGCUGAGCACAGCUUGCAUGGAGAUGAAAAGGGCUGGUACAUUGAAGGUCUCGAAGAAAACUUCAGCUGCUCGUUCACGGUUUUUCCGUGGGUUUAAAGGCGCCUCCGUCAGGAGCACAGGAUGCUGAUGAAAGAUGCCCAGAGGGUCAUCAGGACAAGGCGAGAUCUAUACCCCUCAUCAGCAGAGAAGCCCCUGUGUGCUGGGCUAGAGCGCUGAGGGGACCUUUGUGAGCCUCCCUCCAAAAAAAGGCAAGGACUGGUAUGCAGAUUAAGGGCAGACCUGGCUGAAGAGCACGUGGCCUGGCACCCCAGUAAGAUUCAAAUACUCCCAGCAGUGAUCAUUCUGCUCCUCCUCAUCUCUGGGGUGGUGACUCUGCACAGCUCUGCACACCCUGCUCACGGGACCCUCACCUCCUCUGAGAAAGUCUGCAGCUGGUCCUUGGAAUAGACAUACUGCCAGAUGCGCUCCAUGUCGUUCCAGUCCUUGACAAUGCCGUGCUCCAUGGGGUAGCGGAUGGAGAGCAGCCCUCGGUGUUCCUGGGGGCAGAGAGCAGGACUUACAGCGGCAGCUAGCCUCUCAGCCAGGCAGCUCAGGGGGCCCCGCUCCUCCAGGACUAGGAGUGCCCACCGCACCAUCCUCACCCAGGGCUAAAGGUAGGCCCCUGUUUGCCACGUCUCUAAACUGUAUGCUGCAAACUGUUCUCACUGCCCGAUCAGCCGGCAGAGUGGAGGCUUCUGCAUUUCCAUGGGCCCUCAGUGCCCUUACAGCAAGUGACGGGAGGCACCCUCCUCAUAGCCUGAUCCCAGGACACAAAUCUCCUGGGCUCCCACCUCUGGGCCUCAAUGCUUGCAGCCGAGGUUGGCAACAGUGAUUCUGUUGGUCCGCUUCUGGAAGCUGCCCCAGGGCUCCUCCAAGUGGUGCUAAUUAAUUCAUCCCCAGGGUAUCCCAGCCAGGAUCUCCCCCUGAAUCCCUUUUGCCAAAAAAAUAAUGAAACUAGUAGUUCUUUUGACCUGGGCAAGUAACAUAAACUGUAUUUCAGGAAUACAGAAAAAUCUACCCAAUUUUAGUUAAAAUAAAAGGAAUUUAAGGGCACCUGGGUGGCUCAG